UUUCCGUAGGUGAACCUGCGGAAGGAUCAUUAUCGAGUUUUGACUGGGUUGUAGCUGGCCUUCCGAGGCAUGUGCACGCCCUGCUCAUCCACUCUACACUUGUGCACUUACUGUGGGUAUCAGAUCGUGAAGCGUGCUCUUUUACCGGAGCUUGUGAAGCGUGUCUGUGCCUGCGUUUAUCACAAACACUAUAAAGUAUCAGAAUGUCUAUUACGAUGUAACGCAUCUAUAUACAACUUUCAACAACGGAUCUCUUGGCUCUC
rnacentral:misc_RNA from 1 species